rnacentral:rRNA from 1 species
CCUACGGGAGGCAGCAGUAGGGAAUAUUGCUCAAUGAGGGAAACCCUGAAGCAGCAACGCCGCGUGGAGGAUGAAGGUUUUCGGAUUGUAAACUCCUUUUGUUAGAGAAGAUAAUGACGGUAUCUAACGAAUAAGCACCGGCUAACUCCGUGCCAGCAGCCGCGGUAAUACGGAGGGUGCAAGCGUUACUCGGAAUCACUGGGCGUAAAGAGCGCGGAGGCGGGCUAGGAAGUCAGAUGUGAAAUCCUAUGGCUUAAACACAGAACUGCAUUUGAAACUAUGAUUCUAGAGUGUGGGAGAGGUAGGUGGAAUGCUGGGUGUAGGGGUAAAAUCCGUAGAGAUCAAGAGGAAUACUCAUUGCGAAGGCGACCUACUGGAACAUUACUGACGCUGAUGCACGAAAGCGUGGGGAGCAAACAGGAUUAGAUACCCUAGUAGUC